rnacentral:rRNA from 1 species
AGUAACACGUAAACAACCUGCCUUCAGGAUGGGGACAACAGACGGAAACGACUGCUAAUACCGAAUAAGUUCCAAGAGCCGCAUGGCCCAUGGAAGAAAAGGUGGCCUCUACCUGUAAGCUAUCGCCUGAAGAGGGGUUUGCGUCUGAUUAGCUGGUUGGAGGGGUAACGGCCCACCAAGGCGACGAUCAGUAGCCGGUCUGAGAGGAUGAACGGCCACACUGGAACUGAGACACGGUCCAGACUCCUACGGGAGGCAGCAGUGGGGAAUCUUCCGCAAUGGGCGAAAGCCUGACGGAGCAACGCCGCGUGAGUGAUGACGGCCUUCGGGUUGUAAAACUCUGUGAUCCGGGACGAAAAGGCAGAGUGCGAAGAACAAACUGCAUUGACGGUACCGGAAAAGCAAGCCACGGCUAACUACGUGCCAGCAGCCGCGGUAAUACGUAGGUGGCAAGCGUUGUCCGGAAUUAUUGGGCGUAAAGCGCGCGCAGGCGGCUUCCCAAGUCCCUCUUAAAAGUGCGGGGCUUAACCCCGUGAUGGGAAGGAAACUGGGAAGCUGGAGUAUCGGAGAGGAAAGUGGAAUUCCUAGUGUAGCGGUGAAAUGCGUAGAGAUUAGGAAGAACACCGGUGGCGAAGGCGACUUUCUGGACGAAAACUGACCCUGAGGCGCGAAAGCGUGGGGAGCAAACAGGAUUAGAUACCCCUGGUAGU